rnacentral:rRNA from 1 species
ACGAACGCUGGCGGCGUGCCUAAUACAUGCAAGUAGAACGCACAGUUUAUACCGUAGCUUGCUACACCAUAGACUGUGAGUUGCGAACGGGUGAGUAACGCGUAGGUAACCUGCCUGGUAGCGGGGGAUAACUAUUGGAAACGAUAGCUAAUACCGCAUAAUAUUGAUUAUUGCAUGAUAAUUGAUUGAAAGAUGCUAUUGCAUCACUACCAGAUGGACCUGCGUUGUAUUAGCUAGUAGGUGAGGUAACGGCUCACCUAGGCGACGAUACAUAGCCGACCUGAAAGGGUGAACGGCCACACCGGGAAUGGAGAACGGCCCAGACUACUACGGGAGGGAGCAGUAGGGGAUCCUCGGCAAUGGACGAAAGGCUGAACGGGGAACGCCGCGUGAGAGAAGGAGGUUUUCGGGUCGUAAAGCUCUGUUGUAAGGGAAGAACGGGUGUGAGAGUGGAAAGUUCACACUGUGACGGUAUCUUAACAGAAAGGGACGGCUAACUACGUG